AUGCAUUCCCUCAAGCGUUUGUCCUUUGCGUUACAAGCAAACCAAUCAUGCUCUGUAUGUUCGGUAGAAAGUCCCGCCAUCUUUCCCCCAGGUUUCUUGCCCACCCCCCAGGCUUCCUGCUGCCCUGAGAAAAGCCCGCCAAGCCUGCUCUGUUCUGCCCAGCAACAACAAGCAGCCAAUCAUCGCAGCAGGAAAGCCCACCAAGCCUCAGCCUAUCCUGAACUGACACGUAACCCUCUGAGCCACCUCAGCAGUCUGCCCAGAGACGGGCAGCCUAUCCUAAGCUCCUACGACACUCCGCCAGCCCUGUGUCCACGCCCCGUCCACCCCCCUAUAAAACCCUCCUACCCCAGCUGCGCAGUCGCAGCCAGCCCCGAUCUCCUUCCUUUCCUGGCCUGCCCGCUGGUCCCAAUAAACCUGAACUCGGCUUCCAACUCUCGAGCUGUUAUUUGGGGUCGGGUACCGGGCAGGGGUCUACAAGGGGGUCGCACAUAUGGUGCCGAAACCCGGGACGGAGGGUCGCUAGCCCCCCCUAGCGACCCCCUCCCUCCAGCGACCUCCCCAGCCCUCCUCCAAUUCGGCCUCAGCACUCCGGACCAGGCUGGAUUGAAGCUUACCCCACAGCCUCUGAGUCUGCCGGGACAGUAGCCACUCAUCUCAUUCAAGACAUCAUCCCACGCUUUGGACUCCCGGCUACCAUACAGUCAGACAACGGCCCAGCCUUUAUCUCCAAAGUCACUAAUGCCGUUUCUACCUCUUUAGGAAUUCAGUGGAAGCUACACGCCGCCUACCAUCCUCAGUCCUCUGGUAAGGUGGAACGGGCCAAUGGCCUAAUAAAGGAGCAUCUGACCAAGCUCAUGCUUGAGCUCCGCCAAUCCUGGGUAACCUUGCUUCCUAUCGCCCUCACCAGGUUGAGAGCAAGCCCCCGGGGGCCAUCACAGCUUAGCCCGUUUGAGCUGCCGUACGGUCGCCCCUUCCUACUUUCAACUCCCCCACCACCAGAGACCACUCCUCUAGACAGCUACCUCCCCUACUUUACUCUCCUUCGCAGCCUUCUCCGAGAACACGCCAACGCUUCUCUUCCCCAACCCACCCAGCCAUCUGAAAAUACACAGAAAGUCUCCCCCGGGGACUCAGUUCUUAUCAGGUCCCUCUCCCCAAAGCCCCUCGCCCCCAAGUGGGAAGGACCAUACACAGUCCUCCUUACCACUCUAUCAGCUAUAAGAGUUGCUGAAAUCCCAUCUUGGGUCCACCUGUCUCAGGUAAAAAAGGCCCCUCAUGGACCCUCCUUAUGCUGGAAGGCUGUUCCUACUGGCCCUUUAUCUGUCAAACUUACCAGGGCCUAGCAGCCACACCCCCUACAGAUGGAGAUUCUUCCUAACUGAAAACUAUACCAAAACCACCUUCAUCUGUAAUACCCCUCCAUACAGCCACAACCAUCUUCUUGCAACUUCCGACUGCCCCGCAGCCGGAUGCCAAAGGGCCAUAUAUCUGAACUUCACCAAAUUCCAUAACAUCCAUACUGAUAUACCUCUCAUGUGCUUCAACC
ensembl:lncRNA